UCAAUUUAUCAUAAGAAAAUGAGUUUAAUUGUUAAUUAAAAAAUAUUAUUAGUAUAAUAAUUGAAAU
rnacentral:tRNA from 1 species